GUAUUAAUAUUAUAACAAAAGGCAUUGCUGCCUUUUGAUAACACAUUCAAAGACUGCAAAAGUAGGGUGUAUUGUAAAAUACAUAGACACUGAACAAGCAAAGGCAGCCUUGACAGCAAACCCUCAACAACAACAAAAAACAAUGGCUGUUUGUUUUUUUUAUCCAGCAUCUACAAAAAGUGCACAGGUGGGUUGGAGAUAAAUAGUUUGAAAGGUGUGCACAUUGCUCCUAAGAGCCAGCUACAACCCCCCAAAUUAUAUUUAUUCAAUAAUGAUCCUUCCGCAGGUUCACCUACGGAAA
rnacentral:misc_RNA from 1 species